CCCCGUGGAACAGAGGGCUAAGGCACCUUCACGUGGAACCAUGCUCAACUGGAAUGUCACAGAUUUGCCUCUGGGGCCAAGCUGAGCUGCAGCAGAGCAUGGAGAAGACAGGUUUCAGAUCUCAAACAAUGAACAAUGCUUGAUAGUCAUCGACCUGAUUUCAAAAAUGGAGUAACUGUGAUGCAAUGAGAUGAAGAAACUCACUCGAUACCAUUGAAUCAAUUGAUGUCCAUGCAAGGAUUAGACACAUUUCCUCAUUCUUGGUGCCAUUUGUAACUUACCACAAAAGAACACUAAACCCACUUCUUAUGGCCAUUCUCCAUGCUUCAACAGACCAUGGCAUCAAAGGACUAAGCAAUACAUCUUCACUUCUCUCAGUUUGUUUUCUUUAAAGAAUGACUGUUAUGAGAGAAAAGAGGGCUUCAGCAGCUGCAGGAAAGAGCCCUCACUGUGCAUUCUUUCACCCGUACUUCCUCUCACAUUCUGCCUUUCUGUUCCCUCACUGCCCUCCUGAAGAACCCUGAGUCCAACCAAGUGUUAAUGCCUGCAGUGACAUUGCUAUGGAUCAGAUUCUGAUCACUUUCAUCAUUAAACCCUUUUGUUAGUGUGAACCAGCA